GAACGAACGUUGGCGGCGUGGAUUAGGCAUGCAAGUCGAACGCGAAUCCCUGGGCAACUGGGGAGGAGGGUGGCGAAAGGGGCAGUAAGGCGUUGGUAACCUACCCUCCGGGCCGGGAUAGCUUCGGGAAACUGAAGGUAAUACCGGGCGACGCAGCGAGAUCGCAUGGUCUUGCUGCCAAAGGUCCGCCGCCGGGGGAGGGGCGCACGGGGUAUUAGCUAGACGGCGGGGGAACGGCCCACCGUGGCAAAGAUGCCUAGCAGGUGUGAGAGCACGACCUGCGCACCUGGGGCGGAGAAACUGGCCAGACACCUACCGGUGGCUGCAGUCGGGGAUCUUCGGCAAUGGGGGCAAGCCUGACCGAGCGACGCCGCGUGUGCGAUGAAGGCCUUCGGGUUGUAAAGCACUGUCGAGGGGGAGGAAGCCGCAAGGUUGACCUACCCCUGGAGGAAGCACGGGCUAAGUUCGUG
rnacentral:rRNA from 1 species